GGGGCAUUAAUGUAAUUACAGUUGACGUUAUAUUCUCGCUCCAACCUUUCUAAGGCCCUGAACUCCCCAUUGGCAUGUAUCCCACCACCACCGCCGCUGCGCCACCGUCACUGGCGCUUCCCUUAAAAAUGACAAUGUCUCUUCUGAUGAUUUGUCUGGACACCACAUGUAGGGAAGCCCAGGUUGCUGAAUGCAGCAUUGCAAGAAAACCAUGUUCUGGUUGGACUAGAAGGUGGUUUGACCAGAGAUUCAAUUUGACUUUAUUUUGAGUGUGAAGGACUUGAAUGCAUCGACAUAUAUCUUUGCAGCUUUCUAUCUGCGGUACCUAUCCAACUCCUAGCUGUGGCAUUACAACCGGUGAUCUGCAUAAUAAUAUAUUACUUAUAUAAAGAAUGAUAAAAGUGCAGCUGAUUCUGGGAUGGUUAUUUGACCACAAGAAGAAAAGAGAGAUACAAAUGGUUGUAGAAUGAGGACUAGAUCACAUCCACGAAUAUCGAUGUUAGGUGACUGAGACACCUGCUGUACUCUUUUAAGCCCUUGAGCAAACAUGAUGCUCCAUAUAGUUGAUGCAUAUGAAAAGUGGCAGCUCAGAUUGCCACCGGUCACCUUAACUACUGGCUAUGCAAGGUUCCUGAAAUCCUCCCAUUCUUCUGCAGCCCUGCAAUCUACAUCUAAAUUUCAAGUUAAACUUCUGACGGCUUUCAACGUGGAGGUCAUCAUAACACAUUCUUGGACAGCUCAAUCAACCCAAACCAAGAUAAUAUUUCACUCAAGGUGAAGGCUUGAGUUUGAUAACCAACUUUGUUGCAUUUAUCAGCAAGCAAGCUCACCUCGGACACAGACCUGAGAUUCUUAACAAAGUCAGUCAAGGAAGACUUUGAACGUGGGCGGAAUAUCCAUCCAUUUGCUACAAAGAAAAGAAUGUGUGUCAAGUUGCCACGUUGUUACGAUAAAAGCAUCAGCAGCAAGAACACUGGCCUGCUGGAAGAAUGACCGGACUAAUAGGGCCUGAAAAAGGAAGCAGCACCGCUGUCCUAUAGUUUGGUUCAGUGGCAAGGAGGACAAUGACAUCCCAAUGGGCUUUCUUCCAGGAACCUAUUAGACAGUCUGGUCUGAAAUGAUCUGGUGUGUAUCAUUUUAUCGAUUGAGAGGAUGUUUAGCUAAGUUUAUUUAGAAUACUUUUUAUACUUCUGCAUUUUUGUCAGAUGUUUUUGAAGUUGAUAAUUUGUUGAUUUUUAUGUUAACCGUAAGUUCUUGAAGUGUUUAGACAGAACAUAAUUAUGUAACUUAUAUAAUGUUA